rnacentral:rRNA from 1 species
AUACGUAGGUGGCAAGCGUUGUCCGGAAUUAUUGGGCGUAAAGCGCAUGUAGGCGGUUUGGUAAGUCGGUCGUGAAAAUGCGGUGCUUAACGCCGUAUGGCGAUUGAAACUGCUGAACUUGAGUGCAGGAGAGGAAAGGGGAACUCCCAGUGUAGCGGGGAACUGCGUAGAUAUUGGGAAGAACACCGGUGGCGAAGGCGCCUUUCUGGACUGUGUCUGACGCUCAGAUGCGAAAGCCAGGGUAGCGAACGGGAUUAGAUACCCCGGUAGUCCUGGCCGUAAACGAUGGGUACUAGGUGUGGGAGGUAUCGACUCCUUCCGUGCCGGAGUUAACGCAAUAAGUACCCCGCCUGGGGAGUACGGCCGCAAGGCUUAAACUUAAAGGAAUUGACGGGG